rnacentral:rRNA from 1 species
GAUGAACGCUAGCUACAGGCUUAACACAUGCAAGUCGAGGGGCAGCAUGGUCUUAGCUUGCUAAGGCCGAUGGCGACCGGCGCACGGGUGAGUAACACGUAUCCAACCUGCCGUCUACUCUUGGACAGCCUUCUGAAAGGAAGAUUAAUACAAGAUGGCAUCAUGAGUUCACAUGUUCACAUGAUUAAAGGUAUUCCGGUAGACGAUGGGGAUGCGUUCCAUUAGAUAGUAGGCGGGGUAACGGCCCACCUAGUCUUCGAUGCAGAGGGGUUCUGAGAGGAAGGUCCCCCACAUUGGAACUGAGACACAGUCCAAACUCCUACGGGAGGCAGCAGUGAGGAAUAUUGGGCAAGGGGCGAGAGCCUGAACCAGCCAAGUAGCGUGAAGAAUGACUGCCCUAUGGGUUGUAAACUUCUUUUAUAAAGGAAUAAAGUCAGGUAUGUAUACCCGUUUGCAUGUACUUUAUGAAUAAGGAUCGGCUAACUCCGUG